UCGGAAAUCGCGGCAGAAUACC
rnacentral:miRNA from 1 species